rnacentral:tRNA from 1 species
GCGCCUAUAGCUCAAUUGGAUAGAGCAUUGGGCUUCGAACCCAAAGGCUGGGGGUUCGAGUCCCUCUGGGCGCA